AUUGAACGCUGGCGGCAUGCUUUACACAUGCAAGUCGAACGGUAACAGGCCUUCGGGCGCUGACGAGUGGCGAACGGGUGAGUAAUGCAUCGGAACGUGCCCAGUCGUGGGGGAUAACGCAGCGAAAGCUGUGCUAAUACCGCAUACGAUCUGCGGAUGAAAGCGGGGGACCUUCGGGCCUCGUGCGAUUGGAGCGGCCGAUGUCAGAUUAGGUAGUUGGUGGGGUAAAGGCCCACCAAGCCAACGAUCUGUAGCUGGUCUGAGAGGACGACCAGCCACACUGGGACUGAGACACGGCCCAGACUCCUACGGGAGGCAGCAGUGGGGAAUUUUGGACAAUGGGCGCAAGCCUGAUCCAGCAAUGCCGCGUGCAGGAAGAAGGCCUUCGGGUUGUAAACUGCUUUUGUACGGAGCGAAAAGGCUCCCUCUAAUACAGGGGGCUCAUGACGGUACCGUAAGAAUAAGCACCGGCUAACUACGUGCCAGCAGCCGCAGUAAAAC
rnacentral:rRNA from 1 species